rnacentral:misc_RNA from 1 species
GAUCCAGAAGAAAGAGACAUUCGCACGGUUCCCGUUUUCCGGAGAUCACGUGACACGCUCCGCGGAAAGGUCUCUUUUCCCCCUUUCAUUUCCCGAGGUCCGUCUCUUCAAAACACGAUCCCGACUUUACACUCCUCCAUCUUCACGUCAGGGGGCGGACUUUAGACUUUGGACAGUGUCAGAUCUGGAAAAGAAGCAACACACGGAGAACUUAGUGAUGUGGAGACGCGCGACGAUGUUGACAGAAGAAACCAAGUCACGUGGAUUGGGACGUUGUUGGCGUCACGUGACGCGGACCGGGCGUCGGUGCUGUGGUCACGUGAACAGAACGGGAUGUCGUCGCCCCAGCACCUUUGGACCUAUCGCUUUACCGUGUGUACAGUGCAGUAUAGUGAUUAGUACGAAAUGUCCCCCUCAGCUCUUGCACGCGCCAAGUGAGAGGAGAGCACAUUCCGGAGAAGAAAAUGCCCAGAGUUGCCAGAGUGGAGAGCUGGGCUUCGGUGGCGCAGUGGUGAAAUGUGUCUUUUGGUAGUUGGGUGAAGGGUGGGUUCACAGUAUACAUUGGGGCUACUACCGGUUGCAGUACUUAGACUUUGGCAAAUUAGUUGGGAGUUUAGUUGGAAGAAAAGUGGUGCUGGGGGUGCAAAUUCAAUGAUGCAGAGGUUGUAGAAACAUAAUGAGGACAUUAAUGGAUACGUAAUUAGCAAGUU